rnacentral:rRNA from 1 species
UACGAAGGGGGGCUAGCGUUGCUCGGAAUCACUGGGCGUAAAGCGCACGUAGGCGGCUUCUUAAGUCAGGGGUGAAAUCCUGGAGCUCAACUCCAGAACUGCCUUUGAUACUGGGAGGCUCGAGUCCGGAAGAGGUGAGUGGAACUGCGAGUGUAGAGGUGAAAUUCGUAGAUAUUGCAAGAACACCAGUGGCGAAGGCGGCUCACUGGUCCGGUACUGACGCUGAGGUGCGAAAAGCGUGGGGAGCAAACAGGGA